AAAUUAGCACAGAUGCAGUACAUACAACAACAUGCUCUACAGUCUUUGGUAGUUUGAGGCUUGCUGUCUACUAGCAUAGUUACCAUUUCCCAGCAUAUCUUUUACAUGCAAAUAUAAAUAUGCUCCAUUCCAACUAUUACACAUACUGUUUAACUUGUAUAAUAAUACUAAUGGCAUCUCUACUGCCUACUAUUGCUCAAAAAUAACACUCAUCAGCCUUUGCACUUAGGGGUACACUUGCCCACAUGGUCCUUGAAAUGUUGCAUCUCAGCCAAAACUUCAGCCUUCGGCCGGUACAACAUAUCAAUCAUACGCCAUAUCUGUAAUGUGCCCCCUCCACCAGAGGUCUCUGCAUCAUCAGAUACACUAACAAUAGUCCAUGGAUCACAAGCAUUCCAGUGAAAGUCCACAAUCUUAUCCCUGUGGCCAGCAUGCUGAAAAAACAAGCCUGGAGGAGACUCCUCUUCAUCUUCAUCAGAUUCAAUAUCAGAAUCUUUUGCUGCGCCAACCUUCUCAUAGUCCCAAAUAUUUAAGAGACCAUCCUCUGCACAGCUCCCAAACACAGAAGACCUAUUCGGACACCACUGAACACAGAGAACUGCAGCUGUGUGAUGUUCAAACAUAUGUACUGGUGACCCAACCCCAUCUGAAGUCAAAUUUCGCCGGUCAAAUAAGCGUACUGAAUUAUCAGCGGACCCAGUUAUGAUAAGAUUGUCAUUGUGAGGAUUCCAAUCGACACAAUGAAGAUCAGCAUCAUGAGCUUUCUCAACCUUUACAGCAGGAUUGUUACCAACACGAGCAUCCCACAAUAUGAGGCAUGAAUCAUCACCAACACUACAGAAUUCCUGGGAACUUGAAGGACAAAACUGAACAUCUUCAACGGUAUCCGCAUGGCCAUGGAAGAUACCACGUGGUCCAAUAGAAGGAUUAUCAGCAGACUUAAUUAUAGAGCCACCAGAUCCAGCAGACUUGGUUGCAUCUGCUGCCAAUGUUGAAAUGUGAUCUUGAAUGCUCCAUAAUACAACAGUCUUGUCCUUCCCUCCAGAGAGGACAAAGGGUUCCAUGGGGGACAGAGCCAGAGCAAAUUCUGCAUUGUCCUGAUGUCCACUUAAUACCAGAUCUGGACGCGAAGCAGCAGCACCAUAGACAGCAUGCUUGUUAGGCUGAGCUUCAAUGUCCCAAAUGAGAACUUCAGGACCAUCAGUAUGGGUUGCCACUAUGUUUUUGUUCUGCGGGAGUUCUCUGAUUCUGUUAACCUCUCCCGGAUGUAUUAUGGUUUUGUACUUCUUCACAAAUGGCGAGCGUGCCUCUUCAUUGAAAUUUGCAAUAUGAUUUUCUGCUGCAACCCUGGGCUUAACCACAUCACAAUUGGCGAUGAUCAAAGUAUUAGGCACUGACAUACAGUCUGGUGAACAGGUACUCGAGCGGCUAUCAUUUGGAGGCAGCCGAAUAGGUGAUACCAUUAUUGCUCAAAGUAGAAUACUCAUGUUUUGGUAUUACACAACUUACCUUCUCCUGGAGAAAAAUAAGCCCAAGUAUCAACGGCUUGAACCUCCACUGCGUCUCAAAGAUAUCGAAGAAGAGCCAGAGGAAGAAGCAAAGCUUCAGCCCGUAAAGGAUGAUGAUUUGCCUGAACCAACUCAACAAGUUGAAUCUCCUCCCUCAGAUGAAGGUGCUUAUCAAAAGGAGAUGCUUGUGCAGUAAAAGGAGCUCUUUCUUAUGUGAGCUAUUGAGCUAAUUCUACUAAUAUGCAGUAAAUUCCUCCCCUUCCUGUUAUAUUUAGGGAUCAAAAGCAUUAGAAACUCCAUGAAGAUCGUUUCAACUCCCGAGUAGU
rnacentral:misc_RNA from 1 species